UGGAUAUUAGUUAAUGAUAAUAUUUUAUUUGCAAUAAAAAGUUAUAUUUCUAUAUUUAUAUAUCUAA
rnacentral:tRNA from 1 species